CUGUAGCUCAGUUGGUAGAGCAGGGGACUGAAAAUCCCCGUGUCGUUGGUUCGAUUCCGACCGGA
rnacentral:tRNA from 1 species